GUCGCCGUGGCCGAGUGGUUAAGGCGAUAGACUUGAAAUCUUUUGGGAUUUUCCCGCGCAGGUUCGAAUCCUGCCGAAAACG
rnacentral:tRNA from 1 species